AACACACACCAUGAUCUCUACAUCCCUACUGCUGCUGCUGCUGGCAGCCGUACACUGUGUUCACUGUGUUGAGCUGAUCCAGACCGGAUCCACAGUAUUAACCCCUGGUCAGUCAAUGACUCUGACCUGUAAAGUGUCUGGAUAUUCAUUAACUGAUAGCAGCUACUGUACGUUCUGGAUACGACAACCUGCAGGAAAAGCUCUGGAGAGGGUCGGAGAGAUAUGUAGUAGCGGUAGCACUGCCUACAGUGAGAAACUGAAAAGCAGGUUUCAGGUUUCCAGAGACACGUCCAGCAGCACAGUAACAUUAACAGGGCAGAAGAUGCAGAGUGAAGACACAGCUGUGUAUUACUGCGCUCGUUAUUUACACAAUGUGCAUGGUGAGGAACUGACUCAGCCUGCUUCCAUGACAGUCCAGCCAGGCCAGAGUCUCUCCAUCCCCUGCAAGGUUUCAUAUUCAGUUACGAGUGAUCAUACAGGUUGGAUCCGACAACCUGCAGGAAAAGCUCUGGAGUGGAUUGGAAUCAUCUAUAGUGUGUGA